ensembl:lincRNA
GACCAACCUUUAACUGCCAGAUACUGCACUUCUCAGCCUCAGGAUGUUCUCUUGCCUCCAGAAAUGUGGCAGAUCAGAAAAGUCAAGAAAUUAACGUUCCUGGGAGCAGCCCUCAUUCUGGGAGAAGCCCUCAUUCUGUCACGGACUGGAGUUUCUCUAUAAACACUUCCGUUUCCUCUCUCCAGGUGGCAUGCAAUCUUGGGCCGACAAAUUAUAUAGCUAGUCCUGAACUGUUGUGAAUGACUAUGACUCCAAGUUAUGGGGCACUGGCUGCUGCAAGAACUUACAUAGUUGUAUAAUGGAAGGGACAAGCUCAAAAAAGAGCCUAACUGAAGUUACCAGGAAGGAAUUUAGAGUGAAGCAAAACAUAUAGCUUUAAAAUGAUAUAUACACACUGAUACUUUCCAUAUAGGACCUGCCAUAUUUCCCUGCAUCACAAUGUGAAAUGCUCUGAUUAAUUGACUCUGUAACUGGGCAGCAUGCCGGUGUUGUCUUGUGAGGGGUAGGAGAGGUUAAACUAUUGACAGAAUCCCACAAGAGACCAAGGUGAUUUGUAUGUACAAUGAGGUUUGAAAAGCACUGAUUGAGAGACCAGACUGGAUGAGAACAGACAUGGAGUCAGAAGAGAGAGAUAAAAUAUUCACCCACGAAAAGAUCCCCAACUCAAGACUAAAUCAGCAGAGCAGUGACAUUAAAGGAGCAACUCUGUCAAAUACAAGCUCUCCACAAGGAAAGAAGUUGAAGAACAAAAGCCUGAAGCUUAGUCUGCAAUUGAUUGUCUCAUGUGCCUCUAACAAGAAAUGGAAGAGACAUUUUUCCACUUUACUUCUAUGAAACUACUACCUCUCUAGAAACAUUUUUAGACUGCAACCUAUUAAAGGAUAUAUAAAGAAAUAAAGCAGCUGGACCUAUAGGUUUUGGUGGAAAACUAAUUAAAUUUGAACUAAUUUCCUACAAAACUUUUUUC